CCUACGGGUGGCAGCAGUGGGGAAUAUUGCACAAUGGGGGAAACCCUGAUGCAGCGACGCCGCGUGAGUGAAGAAGUAUCUCGGUACGUAAAGCUCUAUCAGCAGGGAAGAAAAUGACGGUACCUGACUAAGAAUCCCCGGCUAACUACAUGCCAGCAGCCGCGGUAAUACGUAGGGGGCAAGCGUUAUCCGGAUUUACUGGGGGUAAAGGGAGCGUAGGCGGCAGCACAAGUCUGGAGUGAAAUCCCGGGGCUUAACCCCGGAACUGCGUUGGAAACUGGGCGGCUGGAGUGGAGGAGGGGUAAGCGGAAUGCGUGGUGUAGCGGUGAAAUGCGUAGAUAUUAGGAGGAACACCGAUGGCGAAGGCGGCUUACUGGACUGUAACUGACGUUGAGGCUCGAAAGCGUGGGGAGCAAACAGGAUUAGAUACCCUGGUAGUC
rnacentral:rRNA from 1 species